UACGGAGGGUGCAAACGUUGCUCGGAAUUAUUGGGCGUAAAGCGCACGUAGGCGGCUUGUUAUGUCCGAUGUGAAAUCCCUCGGCUUAACCGAGGAAGUGCAUUGGAAACUGGCAAGCUUGAGUACUGAAGAGGGUCGCGGAAUUCCCGGUGUAGAGGUGAAAUUCGUAGAUAUCGGGAGGAACACCAGUGGCGAAGGCGGCGACCUGGGCAGAUACUGACGCUGAGGUGCGAAAGCGUGGGGAGCAAACAGG
rnacentral:rRNA from 1 species